rnacentral:rRNA from 1 species
AACGAACGCUGGCGGCAGGCCUAACACAUGCCAGUCGAGCGCCCUUUCGGGGGAGCGGCGGACGGGUGAGUAACGCGUGGGAAUAUGCCCUUCUCUACGGAAUAGCCUCGGGAAACUGAGAGUAAUACCGUAUACGCCCUGUGGGGGAAAGAUUUAUCGGGGAAGGAUUAGCCCGCGUUGGAUUAGGUAGUUGGUGGGGUAAUGGCCUACCAAGCCGACAAUCCAUAGCUGGUUUGAGAGGAUGAUCAGCCACACUGGGACUGAGACACGGCCCAGACUCCUACGGGAGGCGGCAGUGGGGAAUCUUAGAAAAUGGGGGCAACCCUGAUGUACCCAUGCCGCGUAAGUGAUGAAGGCCUUAGGGUUGAAAAGCUCUUUCAGCUGGGAAGAUAAUGACGGUACCAGAAGAAGAAGCCCCGGCUAACUCCGUG